rnacentral:lncRNA from 1 species
UAUGGUUGAAGUCAUCAUUAACUUCUUUCGAUGCAAUCAAAGACAUUUCAUAGUUUCAAUAAUAUGUACUAUGUUAUUUAUUUUGUUCAAUUCUAUUUGGAUUUUUGGUUUAUAUUUGGUUUUAUGGUUUAUAUUUGGGUCUAGAUUUACUGAUUUAAGUGUAGGGUUUAGUAUUUAUGGGUUGGCGUGGGAUUAAAAAUUGGGGUUGGGAUAUGUUAGUAUUUAAGGGUUGUAGGUGAGGUUAUCAUCCCAUACUAUUU